rnacentral:rRNA from 1 species
UACGGAGGGUGCGAGCGUUGUCCGGAAUUACUGGGCGUAAAGCGUGCGCAGGCGGUUUUGUAAGCCAGAUGUGAAAUCCCCGGGCUCAACCUGGGAAUGGCAUUUGGGACUGCAAGGCUGGAGUUUGGCAGAGGAGACUGGAAUUCCUGGUGUAGCAGUGAAAUGCGUAGAUAUCAGGAGGAAUACCGAUGGCGAAGGCAGGUCUCUGGGCUAUAACUGACGCUCAUGCACGAAAGCGUGGGGAGCAAACAGG